rnacentral:rRNA from 1 species
CCCUUAGAUGUUCUGGGCCGCACGCGCGCUACACUGAUGCAUUCAACGAGUUACCUUGGCCGAGAGGCCUGGGCAAUCUUUUGAACGUGCAUCGUGAUAGGGAUAGAUUAUUGCAAUUAUUAAUCUUGAACGAGGAAUUCCUAGUAAACGCAGUUCAUCAAACUGCAUUGAUUACGUCCCUGCCCUUUGUACACACCGCCCGUCGCACCUACCGAUUGGGUGGUCCGGUGAAGCCUCGGGAUUGUGGCCAGUGCCUUUUUGGUUUUGGUUGCGAGAACUUGUCUAAACCUUAUCAUCUAGAGGAAGGUGAAGUCGUAACA